AAACGCUGCUGGAACACGCCGGCGUACCUCCGCGGUCACGAUUUCAACACCUCGGCAUUUCCCCCACGCUGCGCCCGGCGAGGGAGAGAGACUAGCCCCCCACCCCCCGCAUUGAGCCGCGGCCCCUCCUCCUCCCGAUGCUGCAGCGGCACAGCCAGGCAUGGGACCUCCGUCUUGGCACAAAGGGAGCUGCUCUAUCUGCAUACGCCGCGCAUAAAGGGCCCUUUUGUCACGGGCUUGGCGCACAUGACCGUACUCGCCCCUCCCCGGCCCGACUGCCCUCCCCCGUGCCAAACCUCGCCAGCGCUUUGCCUCUCUCAACAUAAACCCCAAGAAAGAAGGAAUAACCGGAGACCUUCCUGUCCCUCAGUGGACCCCUCCACCCCGCGCCCGCCUCGUCCCCAUUUGUCCUCGAUGGAUUCGUGACUCGCGGGGGGGGGUUGCUGCGGCGUGACUGGCAUAAUUCCAGCGCACCACCCUCUGGAGCCUGGGCAGAUGGAGGGGAGCUGCCACCGGGUCCGCCCCCUCCGGCUUCGGACUCUUCUCCGUAUCACGGACACGUGACCCCUUCCCCCGCCGCCUCGGGACGAUAAAGUCUGCCUAAUCUGCGUCAUGGCAACCACUUGUUGACCCUCUGUGUUCCUCUCCCACAAUAGCCGCAUUAUGUAGGGUGGCGCGCCGAGGGUGGCAUGGGACACGAUGCCAGCUUCACGAAGUGUCCGGUGGACUGCAGGAACCAGCGCUGCUGACUCUACAGGGGGCUUCCUAACACACACACACACACACUGCAGAGUCCAGUAGGAGCAAAGUCUGCUGCUGCCUGAACUCCUGCUGGUUCCCUCCGUCUGCGACUUAUCCUUCGUUUCUGAAUGGGCCGGGGCUUAGUGGCAGAGAAGGUAGAGCUGAAGCCUGGCCUGCCCUGCCGACUUUCGGGAGCUCUCCGCCGCCGCCAAGUUCUGAAUGAAGAGGAACUCAGACUGGGAUUUUACAUCUUUCGGAACCCAGAUGGCGAGCGGCGCACCCCGGACCGGGCCGGAGGGCGGCGGAGGAAGACCGCGCGGCGCCGAUCUGCGCGCGAGGGAGCAGCAGCUUCCAGAAGUGGACGCAGGCAGGAGCCGUGCCGCCCGCAGGUGAACCGUUUACGUUUCUCUCGUUGCUGCCUUCCUUCCUUCCUCCGUUGCUCUGCCUGGAAAACUGUCCUUUGGGGUGAGGUAGUAGGUUGUAUAGUUUUAGGGUUGUACCCUUCCUGUCAGAUAACUAUACAACUUACUGUCUUUCCUGAAGUGGCUGUAAUGUCGUCGUCCUCGUGGGAACAUUCGUCAUGACGGAUAGCGCAGCGACCUGAAUAAACAUCUUUUUUUUUUUUUUUUAUUCUGCA
rnacentral:lncRNA from 1 species